rnacentral:rRNA from 1 species
GACGAACGCUGGCGGCGUGCCUAAUACAUGCAAGUAGAACGCUGAAGGAGGAGCUUGCUUCUCUGGAUGAGUUGCGAACGGGUGAGUAACGCGUAGGUAACCUGCCUGGUAGCGGGGGAUAACUAUUGGAAACGAUAGCUAAUACCGCAUAAGAGUAGAUGUCGCAUGACAUUUGCUUAAAAGGUGCAAUUGCAUCACUACCAGAUGGACCUGCGUUGUAUUAGCUAGUUGGUGAGGUAACGGCUCACCAAGGCAACGAUACAUAGCCGACCUGAGAGGGGGAUCGGCCACACUGGGACUGAGACACGGCCCAGACUCCUACGGGAGGGAGCAGGAGGGAAUCUUCGGCAAUGGACGGAAGUCUGACCGAGCAACGCCGCGUGAGUGAAGAAGGUUUUCGGAUCGUAAAGCUCUGUUGUAAGAGAAGAACGAGUGUGAGAGUGGAAAGUUCACACUGUGACGGUAUCUUACCAGAAAGGGACGGCUAACUACGUG